rnacentral:rRNA from 1 species
UACAGAGGGUGCAAGCGUUAAUCGGAAUUACUGGGCGUAAAGCGCGCGUAGGCGGCUUGGCAAGUCGGAUGUGAAAUCCCUGGGCUUAACCUAGGAAUUGCAUUCGAUACUGCUGAGCUAGAGUUUGGUAGAGGGUAGCGGAAUUCCAGGUGUAGCGGUGAAAUGCGUAGAUAUCUGGAGGAACAUCAGUGGCGAAGGCGGCUACCUGGACCAAAACUGACGCUGAGGUGCGAAAGCGUGGGGAGCAAACAGG